CCUACGGGUGGCAGCAGUAGGGAAUCUUCCACAAUGGACGCAAGUCUGAUGGAGCAACGCCGCGUGAGUGAAGAAGGGUUUCGGCUCGUAAAGCUCUGUUGGUAGUGAAGAAAGAUAGAGGGAGUAACUUGCCUUUAUUUGACGUUAAUUCCUUAGAAAGUCACCGCUAACUACGUGCUGGCAGCCGCGGUAAUACGUAGGUGGCAAGCGUUGUCCGGAUUUAUUGGGCGUAAAGCGCGUGCAGCCGGUUAAAUAAGUCAGAUGUGAAAGCCUUCGGCUCAACCGGAGAAUUGCAUCAGAAACUGUUGAACUUGAGUGCAGAAGAGGAGAGUGGAACUCCAUGUGUAGCGGUGGAAUGCGUAGAUAUAUGGAAGAACACCAGUGGCGAAGGCGGAUCUCUGGUCUGCAACUGACGCUGAGGCUCGAAAGCAUGGGGAGCGAACAGGAUUAGAUACCCCUGUAGUC
rnacentral:rRNA from 1 species